AUUGAACGCUGGCGGCAGGCCUAACACAUGCAAGUCGAGCGGAGGAAGGGAGCUUGCUCCUGGAUUCAGCGGCGGACGGGUGAGUAAUGCCUAGGAAUCUGCCUGGUAGUGGGGGAUAACGUCCGGAAACGGGCGCUAAUACCGCAUACGUCCUGAGGGAGAAAGUGGGGGAUCUUCGGACCUCACGCUAUCAGAUGAGCCUAGGUCGGAUUAGCUAGUUGGUGGGGUAAAGGCCUACCAAGGCGACGAUCCGUAACUGGUCUGAGAGGAUGAUCAGUCACACUGGAACUGAGACACGGUCCAGACUCCUACGGGAGGCAGCAGUGGGGAAUAUUGGACAAUGGGCGAAAGCCUGCUCCAGCCAUGCCGCGUGUGUGAAGAAGGUCUUCGGAUUGUAAAGCACUUUAAGUUGGGAGGAAGGGCAGUAAGUUAAUACCUUGAUGUUUUGACGUUACCAACAGAAUAAGCACCGGCUAACUUCGUG
rnacentral:rRNA from 1 species